GGGGUUGUGGCUUAGUGGUAGAGCACUCGCCUUGCAAGUGAGAGACCCUGGAUUUGAUCCUCAGCACCA
rnacentral:tRNA from 1 species